rnacentral:sRNA from 1 species
AUGCCAGGGUCAAAAAGUCUAAAAGCAACUGAGCCUGCUCAGAGGUAGUUGAAAGACUUUGAGACCCGUCCCCCAUAUGAGCAUAAAAGUGGGAUUUUAAUUCCACGAUAUGCGAAUAUGGGGUAGGGGUGUGGGAGUGCACAGCACGGAACAACCCGUAGGCAUC